AGUGAACGCUGGCGGCAGGCCUAACACAUGCAAGUCGAGCGGCAGCGGGUCCCCGCGAGGGGAUGCCGGCGAGCGGCGGACGGGUGAGGAACACAUCGGAAUCUGCCUGGUUGUGGGGGAUAACGUAGGGAAACUUACGCUAAUACCGCAUGAGACCCUGAGUCGACGGACUGGGGGUGAAAGUGAGGGACCUUCGGGCCUCACGCGACCAGAUGAGCCGAUGUCGGAUUAGCUAGUUGGCGGGGUAACGGCCCGCCAAGGCGACGAUCCGUAGCUGGUCUGAGAGGAUGAUCAGCCACACUGGGACUGAGACACGGCCCAGACUCCUACGGGAGGCAGCAGUGGGGAAUCUUGGACAAUGGGCGCAAGCCUGAUCCAGCCAUGCCGCGUGGGUGAAGAAGGCCU
rnacentral:rRNA from 1 species